rnacentral:rRNA from 1 species
UACGGGGGGGGCAAGCGUUGUUCGGAAUUACUGGGCGUAAAGGGCUCGUAGGUGGCCAACUAAGUCAGACGUGAAAUCCCUCAGCUUAACUGGGGAACUGCGUCUGAUACUGGAUGGCUUGAGUUUGGGAGAGGGAUGCGGAAUUCCAGGUGUAGCGGUGAAAUGCGUAGAUAUCUGGAGGAACACCGGUGGCGAAGGCGACAUCCUGGACCGGUAUUGACGCUGAGGCGCGAAAGCUAGGGGAGCGAACGGG